rnacentral:rRNA from 1 species
UACGUAGGGUGCAAGCGUUAAUCGGAAUUACUGGGCGUAAAGCGUGCGCAGGCGGUUGUGCGAGACAGAUGUGAAAUCCCCGGGCUUAACCUGGGAAUUGCAUUUGUGACUGCACGGCUAGAGUGUGUCAGAGGGGGGUAGAAUUCCACGUGUAGCAGUGAAAUGCGUAGAUAUGUGGAGGAAUACCGAUGGCGAAGGCAGCCCCCUGGGAUAACACUGACGCUCAUGCACGAAAGCGUGGGGAGCAAACAGG